UACAGAGGGUGCGAGCGUUGUUCGGAAUUAUUGGGCGUAAAGGGCGCGUAGGCGGCAAAUUAAGUCAGCUGUGAAAUCUCCGAGCUUAACUCGGAACGGUCAGCUGAUACUGAUCUGCUAGAGUGCGGAAGGGGCAAUCGGAAUUCUUGGUGUAGCGGUGAAAUGCGUAGAUAUCAAGAGGAACACCUGAGGUGAAGACGGGUUGCUGGGCCGACACUGACGCUGAGUGCGCGAAAGCCAGGGGAGCAAACGGG
rnacentral:rRNA from 1 species